UGGGGAAUUUGAUGCAAUGGGCGAAAGCCUGAUCCAGCAAUGCCGCGUGUGUGAAGAAGGCCUUCGGGUUGUAAAGCACUUUUGUCCGGAAAGAAAUCCUUGGCUCUAAUACAGUCGGGGGAUGACGGUACCGGAAGAAUAAGCACCGGCUAACUACGUGCCAGCAGCCGCGGUAAUACGUAGGGUGCAAGCGUUAAUCGGAAUUACUGGGCGUAAAGCGUGCGCAGGCGGUUUGCUAAGACCGAUGUGAAAUCCCCGGGCUCAACCUGGGAACUGCAUUGGUGACUGGCAGGCUAGAGUAUGGCAGAGGGGGGUAGAAUUCCACGUGUAGCAGUGAAAUGCGUAGAGAUGUGGAGGAAUACCGAUGGCGAAGGCAGCCCCCUGGGCCAAUACUGACGCUCAUGCACGAAAGCGUGGGGAGCAAACAGGAUUAGAUACCCUGGUAGUCCACGCCCUAAACGAUGUCAACUAGUUGUUGGGGAUUCAUUUCCUUAGUAACGUAGCUAACGCGUGAAGUUGACCGCCUGGGGAGUACGGUCGCAAGAUUAAAACUUAAAGGAAUUGACGGGGUCAUAGCUGUUUCCU
rnacentral:rRNA from 1 species